rnacentral:rRNA from 1 species
CAGUAGCCGCGGUAAUACGUAGGUGCCAAGCGUUGUCCGGAAUUAUUGGGCGUAAAGGGCUCGCAGGCGGUUUCUUAAGUCUGAUGUGAAAGCCCCCGGCUCAACCGGGGAGGGUCAUUGGAAACUGGGAAACUUGAGUGCAGAAGAGGAGAGUGGAAUUCCACGUGUAGCGGUGAAAUGCGUAGAGAUGUGGAGGAACACCAGUGGCGAAGGCGACUCUCUGGUCUGUAACUGACGCUGAGGAGCGAAAGCGUGGGGAGCGAACAGGAUUAGAGACCCUGUAGUCCCUGUCUCUUAUACA